rnacentral:rRNA from 1 species
GAUGAACGCUGGCGGCGUGCCUAAUACAUGCAAGUCGAGCGAACAGACGAGGAGCUUGCUCCUCUGACGUUAGCGGCGGACGGGUGAGUAACACGUGGGUAACCUACCUAUAAGACUGGGAUAACUUCGGGAAACCGGAGCUAAUACCGGAUAAUAUAUUGAACCGCAUGGUUCAAUAGUGAAAGACGGUUUUGCUGUCACUUAUAGAUGGAUCCGCGCCGCAUUAGCUAGUUGGUAAGGUAACGGCUUACCAAGGCAACGAUGCGUAGCCGACCUGAGAGGGUGAUCGGCCACACUGGAACUGAGACACGGUCCAGACUCCUACGGGAGGCAGCAGUAGGGAAUCUUCCGCAAUGGGCGAAAGCCUGACGGAGCAACGCCGCGUGAGUGAUGAAGGUCUUCGGAUCGUAAAACUCUGUUAUUAGGGAAGAACAAAUGUGUAAGUAACUAUGCACGUCUUGACGGUACCUAAUCAGAAAGCCACGGCUAGCUACGUG